rnacentral:misc_RNA from 1 species
AACGCACAUUGCGCCCGCUAGUACUCUAGCGGGCAUGCCUGUUCGAGCGUCAUUUCAACCCUCAAGCUCUGCUUGGUGUUGGGGCCCUACGGCUGCCGUAGGCCCUGAAAAGAAGUGGCGGGCUCGCUACAACUCCGAGCGUAGUAAUUUCUUAUCUCGCUAGGGAAGUGUAGUGUGCUCCUGCCGUUAAAGACCCCAUCUUUAACAAGGUUGACCUCGGAUCAGGUAGGAAUACCCGCUGAACUUAA